ACAUAGAUUUCACCCCCGUGAUUAAUUUCGUCGAAGUGGUAGUUGCUGCAUAGAACCGUUGUAGUAACUCUGCAAUAGGCUUUGUGCUAUUGUGAUUUCUAAGAGACGAGAAGCGGAAUGCAAAGUUGUUGGAGAGAAAACAGGAAACGUAAUAUACGUUCACAUUCUGGGAAGCAAAUAAGCUGAUCGGUUGAAAUGAUUCUCGUUAGAAUAUUGUAUUUUCUCAUAGAAUUUAAAUGUAUAGGAUUUAUUUAAUAUUGUGACGUUUGUACUCAAGCUGUACGUGUAUGCAACUUACUAGUGUUGUACUGGCUGUUGGGAGGUUUCUUCAAAGGUAAAUCUCGUUUAAACAUGUCGAGUGGUUAAGCAGUGGAGUUGAACUUCAUUUUUAGUCACUGAAGUAUACAGGGUGCAUCAUAAUUAAUGGCGUAAACACAUAGAGUUGAAACUACACGAUACUAGAAGCAAAAAAAUCUCAGUAAACAUAGGGUCGAAAAUGCAUACCUUAAGAGAUACUAGUAAGGUUUCAUCUUCGAUACUAAGUCUCUUCUACUGAAACCUCUUUGCUUUCCACAUUUCGGGAAAUGGUAAUGUGGACCAAAACAAGAAAAAAAUGUCCAGUAAACAUGUGCUUUAAAAUCCAUACCUUAAGAGCUAUGAGCACAUGCUCAUCUUCGCUACUCUUCUAAUGAACAAUUGCUCAUAACUUUUAAGGUAUGCAUUUUAAAGCAAAUGUUUACUGGAUAUUUUUUUCUUGUUUUGGUCCACAUUACCAUUUCCCAAAAUAUGGAGACAAAGAGCGUACGGCAGAAGAGAUUUGCUUCACAGUACCGAAGAUGAAAAAUUGCUCGUAGCUCUUAAGAAACACACCGCAAAUCCAGCACCACACCAGAACUACCGGAUUGUACAACCAAACGUUCUCUACCACUACACUAUAUUUUCUGGUAUGGUUAAUAAGGAUAGGGCAUGGCGUAUACCCAAGAUAAUUAUUUUAUAUUUUACCAUCUGUGCCAAAUUAAUGUGUCUGGUAAUAUAUUUGUUAUGGCACUGUCAAAAGUAGUAUCAUAGAUACACUUUAAAAAAGUGAAAUGGUGUACAUUCCACUGUGAAAGCUCACUGUCAUGAAAUGUUUAUUGAAGUGGAUGACACUUCUAUCUCUUGUGUUGCAGUUACUGUUGUAAUGAGUGAUAUUUUUAGAAUGACAUGUUAAAAACACCUACAGUAAAAUAAAUUUUUUUAUCGUAAAAGGA